AGAGAAUAGAUACCCAGGUAGUCCACGCCGUAAACUAUGGAAGCUAGCCGUCAGUCAGCUUGCUGAGUGGUGGCGCAGCUAACGCAUUAAGCUUCCCGCCUGGGGAGUACGGUCGCAAGAUUAAAACUCAAAGGAAUUGACGGGGCCCGCACAAGCGGUGGAGCAUGUGGUUUAAUUCGAAGCAACGCGCAGAACCUUACCUACCCUUGACAUGUCCAGUAUGGUCACCAGAGAUGGAGAUCUUCAGUUCGGCUGGCUGGACGACAGGUAGCUGCAUGGCUGUCGUCAGCUCGUGUCGUUGAGAUGUUGGGUUAAGUCCCGCAACGAGCGCAACCCUCGGCUUCUAGUUGCCAUCAUUCAGUUGGCACUCUAG
rnacentral:rRNA from 1 species